rnacentral:tRNA from 1 species
AGCCUUGUAUUCACGUUGUGAUAAUAGAAUGCAAUUCUGUAGGGGCAGGGAUUAAAAAUUAAACUUGCCAAGGCCU